AGGAUGAACGCUGGCGGCGUGCCUAAUACAUGCAAGUCGAGCGGUAAGGCCACUUCGGUGGUACACGAGCGGCGGACGGCUGAGUAACACGUAGGAACGUACCCCAAAGUGAGGCAUAAGCACCAGAAAUGGUGUCUAAUACCGCAUGUGGCCUAACAGGCUAAAGCUCCGGCGCUUUGGGAACGGCCUGCGCAUGAUUAGCUUGUUGGUGAGGUAAAAGCUCACCAAGGCAGUGAUCAUUAGCUGGUCUGAGAGGAUGACCAGCCAGACUGGGACUGAGAACGGCCCAGACUCCUACGGGAGGCAGCAGUAGGGAAUUUUCCACAAUGGGCGAAAGCCUGAUGGAGCAACGCCGCGUGCAGGAUGAAAGCUCUAGGGUCGUAAACUGCUUUUAUCUGUGACGAAUAUGACGGUAGCAGAUGAAUAGGAUCGGCUAACUCCGUGCCAGCAGCCGCGGU
rnacentral:rRNA from 1 species